CGCCAUAUAACGCUCCCAAUUUUCCACGGCUACUGGAAUCGGGGUGGAAAAUUGAGAGUUCACAAGUGCUGGUUCGGGUAGCUCAAUUCGCAGCAGGGUUCGGUAGUAAAACCAGUUGAAAGCGGAGAUCGCUUAAUACAUAUAUUGUUUCCAAUAAUAAAACAAAAUAAAAUUAAAAUAAUGUACACAAAAGCACGCCUCUGUGGACUGCCUCCGCACGUCACUGGCUCGGACUGAAGUGGAACGGUCAGUGCGACACUUCCAGUGGAUGCUGGACACGGUGUGUUUCCUCUUAGGUUUGUUAUAUUCCUUUAACAAUCGGAAGUAUAAUUAACACAAAUAAAUUCAGAGUAAUUAAGUGAUUGUUUAAACAAUAGGACUUAGGUACAAAGUACCGCCCUAAGUUACCAAGAGUUCGGGGAAGGUUUAGAAUAACAGGUGUGAAAGUUGACCAGGUACACAGUACCAGCCGUGAGCUUCGGGAAGUAGUUAUCGGGAGUUAGACCGUAGGUGCAAAGCACCGGCCUAAGCUUCUGGAUCAGGCCAGUAAUAAUUUUGGAACACCCUGGAAAUUGUUUUUGCCACUCCUAAAUGUCCUGCGGUUGGUUGAUCAUGGCAUUCUUUCAACACCCGGGAACGUUGGUGUUUUGGAACACACAAUUUCCAUGAA